ensembl:lncRNA
CAAAUCGACAUAGUGUUCGGGAGAUUUGGAGUCAACCAUCAGCGGAGCGGGGGGGUGGCUUACUGGGCUUAAGCCCGGGUCAUUUUUUCAGAAGCAUGGGGCACCGUCGUAAAUUCCCCCUAAUUUUGGUAUGAUCCGAGCUCAGGCACUAGGUGACUGAGCACAGCACGCAUGUGAGCGAGGGGGGAGAAGCUGCUGCCUGCGAGUUUGCUGCAGACAGAGGACAGCUUAAGUUUGACCAGCACAGAGAGGGAGAGAGAGGGAGAGAGAGGAACAGAGAGGGAGAGAGAGGAGCAGAGAGGGAGAGAGAGGAACAGAGAGGGAGAUGGAGAAUGAGGACAGAACAGAGGUGGAACAAGAGCAGGUCAGGGUUUUUUUCCCUUUAAAUUGAUCUUCUUCAUAUUGAAG